UUCGCAAAGACUUUUCAAGGAUGGCCUUCCUCAGAACUUUAGUAUCAUAUUUAUUCGAGUAUCUUUGUUUUUCUAUUUCAUCUGUUUCAGAUUUGAUAGCUUCGUAAAACUUGGAUGAACCCGAGCCUCUAAACGAGAGUUGUAUAAGCUGGUUUCUAUCGACAUUUUUUAAUUGAUUGCCGCAAAUUUCACAAGUAUUCAGAUCCGGAUAAUUUUGAAAAGUACACGCGGUGCAUAAUCCUUGAGAAAAACGCGCAUCUGAUUUCGGCUUUAUAAUAGUAAAUCGGUUAGCAACUCCACAGUUUCUACAAGGAUUAAUGGGAUCACCCACAUUGAUAAAUGUACAAAUUUUGCAAGCCCAUGACUUUUCCACAUGUCGCAGAGAAAGGCGAAUUUUUGGGGAGGAGCGAAAAUACCUAGAGGUAUGCUGUACAUCUCUUAUAUCGGAGAUUUUAAUUUUUAAUGAAUUCUUUUUAGGAUCUACUGAAUCUACGUAGAAGAUGUGUUUUUUU